GACAGAUGGGAGCUUGCUCCCUGAUGUUAGCGGCGGACGGGUGAGUAACACGUGGGUAACCUGCCUGUAAGACUGGGAUAACUCCGGGAAACCGGGGCUAAUACCGGAUGCUUGUUUGAACCGCAUGGUUCAAACAUAAAAGGUGGCUUCGGCUACCACUUACAGAUGGACCCGCGGCGCAUUAGCUAGUUGGUGAGGUAACGGCUCACCAAGGCAACGAUGCGUAGCCGACCUGAGAGGGUGAUCGGCCACACUGGGACUGAGACACGGCCCAGACUCCUACGGGAGGCAGCAGUAGGGAAUCUUCCGCAAUGGACGAAAGUCUGACGGAGCAACGCCGCGUGAGUGAUGAAGGUUUUCGGAUCGUAAAGCUCUGUUGUUAGGGAAGAACAAGUGCCGUUCAAAUAGGGCGGCACCUUGACGGUACCUAACCAGAAAGCCACGGCUAACUACGUGCCAGCAGCCGCGGUAAUACGUAGGUGGCAAGCGUUGUCCGGAAUUAUUGGGCGUAAAGGGCUCGCAGGCGGUUUCUUAAGUCUGAUGUGAAAGCCCCCGGCUCAACCGGGGAGGGUCAUUGGAAACUGGGGAACUUGAGUGCAGAAGAGGAGAGUGGAAUUCCACGUGUAGCGGUGAAAUGCGUAGAGAUGUGGAGGAACACCAGUGGCGAAGGCGACUCUCUGGUCUGUAACUGACGCUGAGGAGCGAAAGCGUGGGGAGCGAACAGGAUUAGAUACCCUGGUAGUCCACGCCGUAAACGAUGAGUGCUAAGUGUUAGGGGGUUUCCGCCCCUUAGUGCUGCAGCUAACGCAUUAAGCACUCCGCC
rnacentral:rRNA from 1 species